rnacentral:rRNA from 1 species
GACGAACGCUGGCGGCGUGCUUAACACAUGCAAGUCGAACGGAAAGGCCCUGCUUUUGUGGGGUGCUCGAGUGGCGAACGGGCGAGUAACACGUGAGUAACCUGCCCUUGACUUUGGGAUAACUUCAGGAAACUGGGGCUAAUACCGGAUAGGAGCUCCUGCUGCAUGGUGGGGGUUGGAAAGUUUCGGCGGUUGGGGAUGGACUCGCGGCUUAUCAGCUUGUUGGUGGGGUAGUGGCUUACCAAGGCUUUGACGGGUAGCCGGCCUGAGAGGGUGACCGGCCACAUUGGGACUGAGAUACGGCCCAGACUCCUACGGGAGGCAGCAGUGGGGAAUAUUGCACAAUGGGCAGAAGCCUGAUGCAGCAACGCCGCGUGCGGGAUGACGGCCUUCGGGUUGUAAACCGCUUUCGCCUGUGACGAAGCGUGAGUGACGGUAAUGGGUAAAGAAGCACCGGCUAACUACGUG